ensembl:lncRNA
ACACGACUGAGUGCAACUCCCACCCCGCCCUCCGCCGUGCGCGUGCGCGCGCGCGCGCACACGCUUACACACACACACACACACACACACACACACACCCCCCAGCUUAGAAGAAAAUACUACAUUUCCCAGACACCCUUGCAGAAAGGAAUGGUCACAUGAUGGCAAUCUGCCCAAUGAGAUGCGAGUGUUGGUUUCAGGGCAGGGCUUCAGGGGAAUCUCUGGACCCCAGAUCUAAGACUGCAGGACAGAAGACCUUCGGCCUUGGGGAGGCCUCCUCUCAACUUGUGAGCAGGCUGCGUGAACUGGAGCAGAGAUUGCCUUCCUGGAAGAAGCCACAGUGUUUUCUGAGGAGCUCAAGUUCACAAUCCACAGAGUUAUAGAAUAAGAUGAAGCAGUACUAAUGAGCUUCCAUAGAAGGCAUCAGAAUUUUCUUACUGAACCAAAGAAGACUUGUCUGUCAGCAUAAGUCAGCAGAGGACCUCCAUGGCAGCUGCAAACGAGAUGGAAACUCUGAACUGGGAGUUCUCUGACCCUCCAAGCUACUGUCCAAGCCCCUGAGGAAGUGAUGUGGACAGCAAGUGACCUGAGAAAGAGAAGAGAGAGGACAGUGCAGUCCAUGUGGAAAACCAGAGGAGCCUUCCUGGAGGAGGAGGCUUGGGGUGAUAAGUGAGGCUUGGCUUGAUGAAUAUAAGCUGGCGAAGGUCCACUUCUCUUCAUGAGGCAUUAGUAAGAUGGGAUCAGAAGUUCUACUUCCUGGAAUUUCAACUCUGCCUAUCAGCAUCUCAAAUAUUCCUAAAACCUUUUCAUCCUUGUGGGGUUCCGGGCUGGAUGGUUUCUGAGAACAGGAUACCAGGAGCCUGGGCUCACAGGAGACAUAUUGGGCUCCCUUCUCUGGGGUGCUUUCUUUUGAUGUUAUGGUUAAUUAUACACAAGCCUGGGCUUCCUUGGGGGCUCAACCAGUAAAAAAUCUGCCUGCAGUGCAGGAGACCUGGGUUCAAUCCCUGGGUUGGGAAGAUCCCCUGGAGGAGGAAAUGGCAACCCACUCUAGUACUCUUGCCUGGACAAUUCCACAGACAGAGGAGCCUAGCAGGCUAUAGUCCAUGGGAUCCCAAAGAGUCGGACAUGACUGAGCGAGUAACUUUCACUUUCAUACACAAGCCUGUGCCUGGGAUGUCUCCAAGGCAGAACGGCCCAUCUGCAGCAGUGCCCUCAGAGGAGAAGGGGUUCAGUACACUGUUCAGUACAUUUUUAAUGUUCCCGACCUACCAAACAUGUUGCAGCUCAUUGAUGAAUACAUCUCAUGCAGCCCCUGCUGUUCUCUUUACAGAGAUACAUGUAGUGACUCCUGAGUCUCCCAAAGCUUGACCAGCCCUGUCCUUUAGGCAAAACAGUAUUUUCUCUGUAAAUCUCCAUUAGUCAUUUGUUCCUGCCGUAACACCUGAACACAGCACACGCUCACUGCCUCACAGUUCUGCAGGUCAGAAGUCCAACUUGAGACUUCCCUCGUGGUCCAGUGGUUAAGAAUCCGCCUUCCACUGCAAGGGACACAGGUUCCAUCCCUGGUCGGGGAACUAAGAUCCCAUAUGCUACGGAGCAACUAAGCCCGCUUGCCACAACUACUGAGUCCACACGCCACAAUGAAAGAUCCCGCAUGACGCAACAAAGAUGUGUGCUGCAACUGAGAACCGACACGGCCAGUAGUCACGUAUGGAUGUGAGAGUUGGACUAUAAAGAAAGCUGAGCGCCAAAGAAUUGGUACUUUUGAACUGUGGUGUUGGAGAAGACUCUUGAGAGUUCCUUGGACAGGAAGGAGAUCAAACCAGUCAAUCCUAAAGGAAAUCAGUCCUGAAUAUUCAUUGGAAGGACUGAUGCUGAAGCGCCAAUACUUUGGCCACCUGAUGCGAAGAACUGACUCAUUGGAAGAGACCCUGAUGCUGGGAAAGAUUGAAAGAAGGUGGAGAAGGGGACAACAGAGGAUGAGAUGGUUGGAUGGCAUCACCAACUCAAUGGACAUGAGUUUGAGCAAGCUUUGGAAGUUGGUGAUGGACAGGGAAGCCUGGCCUGCUACAGUCCAUGGGAUCACAAUGAGUAGGCCACAACCGAGAGACUGAACUGCACUGAACUAAACCUAUGGCUCAGAGGUUAAAGCAUCUGCCCACAAUGCGGGAGACUGGGGUUUGAUCCCUGGGUCAGGAAGAUCCCCUGGAGAAGGAAAUGGCAACCCACUCCAGUAUGCUUGUCUGGAGAAUCCCAUGGACGGAGGAGCCUGGUGGGCUACAGUCCAUGGGGUCACAAAGAGUUGGACAUGACUGAGUGACUUCACUUCACUUCACUUCACUUCAACAGGAGCUUCAGGGACUCUUGGAGUCCAUAAGAUUCUUUCAUCAUCAUUGUCAGUAGCAGCAGCAAAAAUGUUAUUUGCUUUUUCCAUUUUGUUCUUUCUUGUGUGUACUGUGGAAUUUUCCAGAAGUUGUAUGAUAUUGCAACAGAUUGAAUGCAGAAACUGAUAUGAGAAUCCAGCUAUCUUCUGUUAAGCCAGACGUGAGAUUGGCAAAAAUGCAAAACUAUACCACUCUUAUCACCUUGUUUGUUUUGAAAAGUAGUCAUUUUUAAUUAUAUGAACACAAGGAUUUAUUGGGCUUUCCUAGUGACUCAGAGAGUAAAGAAUCUGCCUGCAAUGAGGGAGACCCAGGUUUAGUCCCUGGUUCAGGAAGAUCCCCUGGAGGAAGGAAUGGCAACCCACUCCAGUAUUCUUGCUUAGAGAAUCCCAAGGACAGAGGAGCCUGGUGGGCUACAGUCCAUGGGGUUGCAAAGAGUUGAAUAAGACUGAGCAACUAACACACACACACACAAACACACACAUGGGUUGAUUGCUACUUUUUAAAUUGAGUUAAUAAAUUUUUUUAAUUUCUCAAAAAAAUCUGAAAUAACUUUUGAGACUUGAAUUCCACUGAGGCACAAGGAAAUUCAGCAGUAUUUGAACUGGGCUUGUAUGGUAUGCACCUCAGUUCAGCUCACCUUCAGGAAGGAUGUUUUUCCUAUCUGGAAAUAGAAGGCAGCUGGUCUUAAAGGUGAUGGGGACUUGGCAGUGCCUGUCAUUCAUCAGUUCUGUGAGUCUGUGAGAUUGCCAGGGUUCAUCCUGAAAUUGGGAGACAGGAGGGAAGAUUAUCUCAUGAAGGAAGAUUCUGGGCUUUUCAUCCAGGGCUUCUUAAUGCAGCUUCUACUGUAGAGUCCUCCCCACUUUCCCCUCCUCUAUCCCUUUUAAAAAAAGUAUCUAUUUCUUUUUAUUUAUUUCUGGCUACACUGGGUCAUCAUUGCUGCAUGCGGGCUUUCUCUAGUUGCAGAAAGCAGGGGCUACUCCCUGUUGUGGUUUGCAGCUUCUCAUUGUGGUGCCUUCUGUUGUUGCAGAACAUGGGCUCUAGGGCUCACGGGCUCUGCAGUUGUGGUGCAUGGGCUUACUUGCUCUGUGGCAUAUGGGAUCUUUCCAGACCAGGGAUCAAACCUAUGUCGCCUACAUUGGCAGGUGGAUUCUUAACCACUGGACUACCAGAGAAGUAUCUCCACCCACCUCCCAUCCCUUUUUUUCUGGCCUAGACUUACACCUGUUGGCCAGUAUUUUGAUGCUUUCAUUGGUCAACUUGCACCCUUUUGGACUCCUAGCUAGUAAGGUACCAAGAUGAAAGGGAAAAGCACAUUUGUGGCUUGAUGAAAAUUGAUACUGGGUGGAUAUUUCCAGUGCUUCUUACAGCAUAAAUUCAAUAACUUAAUUUUGGCAAUUUCCUGUUGUGGUGGCGGGCAGGGGAAGUGGGGGGUGGGAAGCCAUGAAGAGUCAGAUUCUAUUUUGCAGCAGGGCUAGAUUGCAGGGCUAAAAUCCAUAGACUCAGAUAUAGCAUUUCUAUCACUGAGAAUGUUAAUAAACCCCUAAGAGGAUUUGCUGACCACGAGAUCCACAGACCAAGGGGUAACAGCAGUUGUACACCAUUUGUAUGUAAAUUUCACAUAUAAUGGAUAUUGUGUCAGAAAUUUUAUUGCAAUUAGAGUACAAAGCACUAUAAUGUUUGAGCUCAGAUCCAAAGAAAAAGGACAGCCUACGUGUAUAUGUGCACAAGAAAAACCCAGCUCAUUCUUGUUUUCUGUAAGAAACUCAAUCUCAAAUCUCUGAUCACAGUGGUUGAGCUUGGUUAAAAAUACAACUGUCACUCACAGGCUGAGGAAUGAACUUUAAAUGGAGAGAAAACAUCUAAGCCUUGCCUUAUUAAGAGUUCUUAGAAUGCAGCGCCAAUGUGUACUUUAUCAGUGAUGCCCCCAAUGACUGUAAAAAGUGCUGUAUGUGACUGAAGGACAGAUAUUUUGGGAGUUAAUUACAGCUAGUCAUAGAAUAGGAAACAUUGUUCUUUGCUUUUUUUUUUUUUUAUUCUAUAAAAAGUGGAUUGACAUGAGGAAAUCAAAAGAUCUAGAUUCAAGAAUGUGGGUGUCAUUUAGUUAUAUAAUUAAUUAGUUCCUAAAUUAGUUGCAUAAUUAGUGUCACAUGAGGAAGGAGCCAAUAGUGGCUGCCUCCUCUUUUUAAGAAGUUUAGAUCACACUCCAAACUACAUCAUUAGUAGGAUUUCCUUGCCUUGGCUGAACUAUUUUUUUAGUAAUGUUGAAAGAUUACACUUCAUAGUACUGUGAUGGAAGAAGAGAAUGUGAUAGACUGGCUUUUAGAUACUGUCACCAGCAUCUAAAUCAAAGCACCUCCACUGUGACUGUGGGUUUUAAUCUUCUCUUCCUCCCCCUUCUCCAAGUUGCCAGAUUGAGAAUUGCCUUAGAAUCAGUUUCAGUGCUACUGGAUAUAAGAGAUAUCUGAUAUUCUUUUUAAUUUUAGAUGAUAAAAUCUCAGAGUGUCGAGAUAAUCUUAAACCCAGUACACACUGCUGAUGUCUAUUCGAAAUGCUUUCACUCCAAGUAGAGAAAACUCAAGUGGCUUGACCUACUUGAGAUCAUGUUUGAUUUUGCCCUCUUAGCAAGAUGUCUGGAUCUAGGCAACUUCUGGUGUCAGUGUUCCAAAAUAUUAGGCUUGCAAUCUACCUGAUGGGCUCUGACUUUCCCUCAUGGUCACAGAAUGGUUGCUGAAAUUCCUAGCAUCACAGCCAUAUUUAAGGCAAGAAGUUAUACAAACCCCUGAUGUUUGUCUCAUUUAUCAGGAAAGGAAAGCAGUGCCAGCAGCCCUGCAGGUAUCUGGUUCGGUCUCAUAGUGUGGUCAGCACAGCCCACCUCCCUCUUUGGUCCCUCAGACUGUGCUAUCUCCUGGGUUUGCAGGGCCCCUGUGGCCUCUCACAGCUUCCCAGUUCUGGACAACCCAUCUCCAUCCUCAGGGGAAGAACCAACCCCACAGAUCCCAUCCACGCCUGCCAGACAUAUCUGUCUCAUCACCAUCAUUUUUCUGAAGCAGAAAGUGAUUUGGUUCUUAACACAGCAGUUAAACAGAAAAUUAACACAUGUAGCAAAAUGCUAGAGCUCCUACUUCAGGGUGUUAGUAAACAAAAUGAUGUUUUCAAAGACAAAACGUUUUUGGUCAGCCUGCCCGUAACUCCAGAAGAAAAGGGGAAACAUAAGAUUGUCCUUCCCCAGGGACCAGCUCUUAACUCAUAGUUCACCAUCUGUUCAGAACCAAAGGGAUGUUUGGAUACAUUUCCCUAUGAGCCUACUGAAGAGAGUGCAGAAACAAGGACCUGACUGUGAAAGUCAGAGACCAAGACCAAUGGGAAAUCCUGGGAGACAGAAACAAGCUGUAUUUAGGACAGCUUCCACCUGUGUGGUGGCAGCCCAGACACUCAGAACAGCGGGAACCCUUGAGGGGGUGGCAGAUGUCUACAAGACUUGAUGACAGAACAGUGAAUCAUUGUGCUUGUGUAGACUGAUGCUCCUCAGUGCAAUAGGUGAUGUGCUCUAUUUAUUAAUAGUCAGCGCAGUUCAGUCCUAUAGCUUCUUCUUUGUUUUUGAUACUAUACUUUUUUAAUCCAAAAUAAUCACUGGAAAUAAGUUAUGAUGAUAAGGGAAAGAAAAUUUAUCAAAGAGUUUGAAAUGAACAAAAGAGAUUACUAGGUGCCCUUUCAGUAUGCUUCUGGUUUUCCAAAGAAUGUUCUCGGUAUUAUCAGAUUGUAUAAAAAUGUACACCAUAAUUGCUCCUGUGUUGACUAUGCUAAUUUACAUCUCUACUAUUUUAUUUAAUUCAAAUUCCAAUUUUUUACUGCUGACAUAUAAGAAAAUAAUUGAAUUUUAUAUCUUGACCCACUAUCCUGCAACUUAGCUGUACUUGCUUAUUCCUUCAGAGAAUUCCCUGUAGAUUAUAUGGCAUUUUCUACAUGGAUAAUUAUGUCAUCUGUAAGUAAAGAGAGUUUGAUUUCUUUCUUUCCAAUCUGUAUACUUUUUAAAGCAUUCAAAUUAAAAAAUUUAAAUUAACU